rnacentral:rRNA from 1 species
GACGAACGCUGGCGGCGUGCUUAACACAUGCAAGUCGAACGCUGAAGCUCAGCUUUUGUUGGGUGGAUGAGUGGCGAACGGGUGAGUAACACGUGAGUAACCUGCCCCCUUCUUUGGGAUAACGCCCGGAAACGGGUGCUAAUACUGGAUAUUCACUGGUCUUCGCAUGGGGGUUGGUGGAAAGGGUUUUUCUGGUGGGGGAUGGGCUCGCGGCCUAUCAGCUUGUUGGUGGGGUGAUGGCCUACCAAGGCUUUGACGGGUAGCCGGCCUGAGAGGGUGACCGGUCACAUUGGGACUGAGAUACGGCCCAGACUCCUACGGGAGGCAGCAGUGGGGAAUAUUGCACAAUGGGCGCAAGCCUGAUGCAGCGACGCCGCGUGAGGGAUCGAGGCCUUCGGGUUGUGAACCUCUUUCGCUCAUGGUCAAGCCGCAACAAUGGUUGUGGUGAGGGUAGUGGGUAAAGAAGCGCCGGCUAACUACGUG